UACGUAGGGGGCAAGCGUUGUCCGGAAUUAUUGGGCGUAAAGCGCGUGUAGGCGGCUCGGUGAGUCUGCUGUGAAAGUCCAGGGCUCAACCCUGGAAUGCCGGUGGAUACUGUCGAGCUCGAGUCCGGAAGAGGCGAGUGGAAUUCCUGGUGUAGCGGUGAAAUGCGCAGAUAUCAGGAGGAACACCAAUGGCGAAGGCAGCUCGCUGGGACGGUACUGACGCUGAGACGCGAAAGCGUGGGGAGCAAACAGG
rnacentral:rRNA from 1 species